GGGGGUGGGGGGGCUUACACAUGCAAGUCGAGCGGGGGAAGGUAGCUUGCUACUGGACCUAGCGGCGGACGGGUGAGUAAUGCUUAGGAAUCUGCCUAUUAGUGGGGGACAACAUCUCGAAAGGGAUGCUAAUACCGCAUACGUCCUACGGGAGAAAGCAGGGGAUCUUCGGACCUUGCGCUAAUAGAUGAGCCUAAGUCGGAUUAGCUAGUUGGUGGGGUAAAGGCCUACCAAGGCGACGAUCUGUAGCGGGUCUGAGAGGAUGAUCCGCCACACUGGGACUGAGACACGGCCCAGACUCCUACGGGAGGCAGCAGUGGGGAAUAUUGGACAAUGGGGGGAACCCUGAUCCAGCCAUGCCGCGUGUGUGAAGAAGGCCUUAUGGUUGUAAAGCACUUUAAGCGAGGAGGAGGCUACUUUAGUUAAUACCUAGGGAUAGUGGACGUUACUCGCAGAAUAAGCACCGGCUAACUCUGUGCCAGCAGCCGCGGUAAUACAGAGGGUGCGAGCGUUAAUCGGAUUUACUGGGCGUAAAGCGUGCGUAGGCGGCUUAUUAAGUCGGAUGUGAAAUCCCCGAGCUUAACUUGGGAAUUGCAUUCGAUACUGGUGAGCUAGAGUAUGGGAGAGGAUGGUAGAAUUCCAGGUGUAGCGGUGAAAUGCGUAGAGAUCUGGAGGAAUACCGAUGGCGAAGGCAGCCAUCUGGCCUAAUACUGACGCUGAGGUACGAAAGCAUGGGGAGCAAACAGGAUUAAUCUGGGUUGGUUACCCAAAA
rnacentral:rRNA from 1 species